GCAAGUCGAGCGGUAAGCUAACUUCGGUUAGCCUAGAGCGGCGGACGGGUGAGUAACACGUGGGAACAUACCCUUUUCUACGGAAUAGCCAUUGGAAACGAUGAGUAAUACCGUAUACGCCCUUCGGGGGAAAGAUUUAUCGGUGAAGGAUUGGCCCGCGUUAGAUUAGAUAGUUGGUGGGGUAAUGGCCUACCAAGUCUACGAUCUAUAGCUGGUUUUAGAGGAUGAUC
rnacentral:rRNA from 1 species